AAAAAAAAAAAAAAAAAACAAAGAUGGUGUCAUUAAAUACACCUUCAGUUACAGAUGGAUCGUGAGUCCAUGCCACAUAUGUCUUUUGAGUACAUGAAAGUUUUAGUGUUACGCAAUGCAGUUUGUAUUCUGUAACUUCUUUUGACCCAGAGUAUUCCUGAGAUUAUUCCCCACAGAUUGCAGCUGUAGGUAAUGGAUUUUCAUUGUUUGAUUGUCUACAUAGCUCUAUAAAGUAGCUUCCUCUUACGAAUUGUGUUGAGCCCUGGGGAGUGUCUGGCAUUUGUUCUUAGGGACAGUGCUUUUGUGCACAUUCUGUCCAUGUGUCUGGGGCACAUGUGCGAACACCUGCAUCUGCUGCUUCUUGGCGCAUGGAAGUGUCUAGUUCUGCAAGAUAAUGCAGGAACCCGCACAUUGAUGCAUGUCUGUUUUUCCGAGGUGUUGUGCAGGUUUCCACUUCCCCUGCAGCACAGCAGAGUUGCAUCAUCCUCAGCCUCACAGCACUGUUUUCAGCAGGGCGGGGGAAUGAUGAAAAAGGCAGAAAUAAAAGUGCUGUUACUGGCGGUGGCGGCGGCCGGGGAGGCAGCGGUGCAGUCAGUGCUAGCCAAGCUGAGCCGCGCUGAUCUCCAUCCAGCCCCGGCUGUCGCGUGCGGGCCUGGCGGCGCCGCAUCCCGUGGAGCUCGAGAACAUCGUAGCGAACACAGUGCUACUCAAGGCCCGGGAAGGUGGCGGUGGGAAUCGCAAAGGCAAAAGCCAGAAACGGCGGUAGAUGCUCCAGUUCCCCCACAUCAGCCAGUGUGAAGAGCUGCGGCUCAGCCUUGAGGGUAACUACCGCAGCCUUUGCGAGUGGCAGCCCAUUGGGCGCCUGCUGUUUUGAGAGUUCUGUGCCAUGAGGCCGGAGCUGAGCCACUGCAUCGCCUUCCUGGAUGGGCUGGCCGAGUAUGAAGUGACCCUGGAUGAGAAGUGGAAGGCAUGUGGGUGGCGACUAAUGCAGAACUUUCUGACCCACACGGGUCCUGACCUCAUCCCUGAGGUCCCCCUGCAGCUGGUGACGAACUGCGCCCAGCAACUGGAGCAGGGGUCCUGCAAAGACCUCUUCCAGGAACUCACCCGGCUGACCCACAAGUACCUGAGCGUGGCCCCAUUUGCCGACUACCUUGACAGCAUCUAAUUCAACCGUUUCCUGCAGUGGAAGUGGCUGGAAAGGCAGCCAGUGACCAAAAACAUCUUCAGGCAGUACCGAGCCCUGGGCAAAGGUGGCUUUGGGGAGGUGUGUGCCUGCCAGAUGCGGGCCGCAGGCAAGUUGUAUGCCUGCAAGAAGCUAGAGAAAAAGCGGAUCAAGAAGCGGAAAGGGAAGGCCAUGGCGCUAAAGGAGCAGCGGAUCCUAGAGAAAGUGAACAGUAGGUUUGUAGUGAGCUUGGCCUGUGCCUGUGAGACCAAGGACGCACUGUGCCUGCUGCUGACGCUGAUGAACGGAGGCGACCUCAGGUUCUACCACAUGGGCCAUGCCGGCUUCUCCAAAGCGCAGGCUGUCUUCUACACCACCGAGAUCUGCUGCGGCCUGGAGGACCUGCACCGGGAGCGCGUCGUGUAUAGGGGCCCAAAGCCAGAGAUCGUCUUGCUGGAUUACCACGGCCACAUCCGCCUCUCCGACCUGGGACUGGCUGUGCUUGUACCCGAGGGCUAGACCAUCAAAGGCCGUGUGGGCACUGUGGGCUACAUGGCUCUAGAGGUGGUGAAGAACGAAGGGUACGUGUUCAGCCCUGACUGGUGGGCACUAGGCUGCCUCCUGUACGAGAUGAUCGCAGGCCAGUCACCCUUUCAGCAGAGGAAGAAGAUCAGGCGGAAGGAGGUGGAGCGGCUGGUGAAGGAGGUGCCCGAGGAGUAUUCAGGGCACGUUUCCCCACAGGCCCGCCCACUCUGCUCCCAGCUCCUCUGCAAGGACCCUGCCAAACGUCUGGGGUGUCGUGGGGGCAGUGCCCGUGAGGUGAAGGAGCACCCCCUCUUUAAGAAGCUGAACUUCAGUCGGCUGGGAGCCGGCAUGCUGGAGCUGCCCUUCAAGCCUGAUGAUCCCUAGGCCAUUUACUGCGAGGAUGUCCUGGACACUGAGCAGCUCUUCACCGUCAAGGGCUUGGCGCUGGAGCCCACUGACCAAGACUUCCACCAGAAGUUUGCCACAGGCAGCAUGCCCACCUCGUGGCAGAACGAACAGAUGGAGACGGAGUGCUUCCAGGAACUGAAUAUCUUUGGGCUGGAUGGCUCAGUUCCCCCAGACCUGGACUGGAAGGGCCAGCCACCUGCACCCCCUAAAAAGGGACUGCUACAGAGACACUUCAGUCACCAAGAUUUGCUGUGGAAACUGCAGCAGCAAUGAGGAAGAGCUCCCCACCUGCCUCUAGCCCCGAGCCUGAGGCCCCCACCGGCAGUUGGCGGUAGCAGCUACUUCAAGUGCUGUUCACAGUUUUGCACAGUGGUCUUCCCCAUUGUCCACUCGAGUGGUGGCCUGGGGAGCACAGAUGGAACUGUUCCCAGCGUCCUCCGCCCCUCAGCCCCUGGCCUGGCUGAGUGUGGCAAGGCCUGGGCUGUCCCUAGGACAAAGGUGCGUCCCUUCAGCUCUUCUCUGUGAAGCUCGGGGCUUUCUGUAUUUAUACAAAUGUAUACAGCGACCGAAGCGUUCUUAAUUCCCACCGCAGACCUGGCGCCCCCGCCUUGGCUCCUGGGGGCAGCCAGCCCUGGCUGGGAGAGUGGGAGCUGACAGAGGAGCCACUGCCAAAGUCAGGGCUCCUCCGGCCCAGUUUGGACGGCUGAGGGUGGUCACGGCCCUGAGCCCUCAGCACUGUGCUGGGUCACCCCCCUGCAUUCCCCCAGCCUCUGAGUAAGACUCAUGCCUGCCUUUGCUGCCUUGGGCUCAGGCUGCUACCCUGAGGGGCCCAAAGCUGUCCCUUCUCAGUGCUUGUCAGAGCUGGAUCUGGGGCCUCUGUAUCUCCUGGGCCUGUGCCAAAGUGGCCAGAGAUUGGGUUGGCAGUGAGACCCAUCAGUCCACUGCCCCAGCUAGCCCAGAUAGGUCUGCCUCUGCCUUUCAGCUCCCAGGGCCUGGUCCCUGAUGUUGGGCCCUGUCCUGAAGACACCUCUUUCAGAAACGCCCGAGCCCAGCCCCUAGGUGGGGGUGGGGCAUCCCCUGGACAACCCUCAAACAUUCCGGACUCCCCUCAUAAUGAUAGAUACAUGUGCCCAGCCCAAAAAAAAAAAAAAAAAA